GUGCUUGCUUUGGCAGCACAUACACUAAAAUUGGAACGAUACAGAGAAGACUAACAUGGCCCCUGAGCAAGGGUGACACGCAAGUUCAUGAAGCAUUCCAUAUUUCU
rnacentral:snRNA from 1 species